rnacentral:rRNA from 1 species
UACCAGCUCCCGAGUGGUAGGGAUGAUUAUUGGGCUUAAAGCGUCCGUAGCCGGCUUAGCAAGUCUCCUGUUAAAUUCAGCGACCUAAUCGUUGAGCCGCGGGAGAUACUACUAGGCUAGGAGGCGGGAGAGGUCGACGGUACUUCUGGGGGUAGGGGUGAAAUCCUAUAAUCCCGGGAGGACCACCAGCGGCGAAGGCUGUCGGCUAGAACGCGCUCGACGGUGAUGGACGAAAGCUGGGGGAGCGAACCGGAUUAGAUACCCGGGUAGUCCCAGCUGUAAACGAUGCGGGCUAGGUGUUGGGGUGGCUACGAGCCACUUCAGUGCCGCAGGGAAGCCAUUAAGCCCGCCGCCUGGGGAUACGGCCGCAAGGCUGAAACUUAAAGGAAUUGGCGGGGGAGCACCACAAGGCGUGAAGCUUGCGGUUC